GCGUGAGAAGUCUGCCUUCAGGUCUGGGGACAACAGAAGGAAACUUCUGCUAAUCCGGGAUGAGCCCUUGGGUAAAGAUAAAUUGCCUGGAGAUGAGCUACGCGUCUGAUUAGCUAGUUGGUGUGGUAAAAGCAUACCAAGGCAACGAUCAGUAGGCUGGUCUGAGAGGAUGAGCAGCCACACUGGGACUGAGACACGGGCCCAGACUCCUACGGGAGGCCAGCAGUGGGGAAUUUUCCGCAAUGGGGCGAAAGCCUGACGGAGCAAGACCGCGUGGGGGAGGAAGGCUUUAGGGUUGUA
rnacentral:rRNA from 1 species